rnacentral:lncRNA from 1 species
AUCCAGCUUCUUGUUAACCUUGUAAUCCUCUUUAAGCCAUCUGCAUAGAGAAUUUAUAGCGUGGCAGGUGAGAAUGCAGAGGUGCUUGCCACCUCCCCCUGCCGGGUGCACUUCCCCUAUUUUUUUUCUUUUCUGAUCUCCUCAUUCGCCACUAGUCAACCCUUAAAUUCAGAAGUUCUACCUUCUUCUUCCUAUUGACUUAUAACAAAUUGAACUGUAGCGUUUGACUAAAACUGCCCCCAAAAGUUCGGGCAUUUCUAUUAUGCUACCCAAAAUACUUUGGAGGAAAACAUGUAUGUUAAAUGAUUUUUUUUUUUUUUAUGGAAGUCUAUUGAAGUUGAGAACUUAAAAUAGUACUCAACCCAUAGAAAUCUUAAUUUUUUUUCACUUAACUGAGGUAUAAGUUAUACAUAAUAAAGCAUGCAUAAAAUAAAUCACUUGAUAAAUUUUGAUGCAUAUACACUCCUGUGAAGCCAUCACCAAUCUAAAUAAUGAAUCAUCCAUCCCAUCACCUGAAAAGUUUUCUAAUGUCCCUUUUGUAAGCCAUCCUUCCCUUCACCUAAAAACGAUGCUAAAGGCAACCAAUAAUUUUCUUUCUGUCACUAUAAUUUGCAUUUUUUAAUUGUACAUAUGGAAUCCUACAACAUGUACUAUUCUUAAUCUAGCUUUUUAGAAAAAAAAAAAACUUUACAGAUUUACCCAUGUUAUUGAGUGCAUCCACAGUAAGUAGUAGUCCACAAUAUAGAUGUGCCACAAAUUGUUCACCUUCAUGAACAUUUUGGUUGUUUCCAGGUUUGGGCUAUUAAAAAUAAAACUGAACAUUUUUGUGCAAGUCCUUUCUGUGGACAUAUGCAUUUGUUACUUUUGGCUAAAUGUCUAGGAAUGGAUUAGGUGGGUUAUAUGGGAUGUAUUUGUUUCACUCUUUAAAAAACUACAAAACUGUUUACCAAACUAAUUUUACUAUUUUCUAUUCCCACAGCAGUAUAUAACAAUUCCAGUCUCCACAUCCUUGUCAACAUUUAUUAUUGUCAGUCUUCUGAAUUUUAGCCAAUUCAACAGGUGUGUUUUGGAAUGGAAUAUGUAACUCAGUGGUAGAUGGCUUGCCUAACAUGUGCAAGGCCCUGGGUUCAAAACCUGGCACCACAAAAAAUAUAUAUAUGUACAUAUAUAAUGUGUAUAUAUAAUAUAUAAAUAUCGUAACUUAUAAAAUUUCUGUUCAGGC